rnacentral:rRNA from 1 species
UUGGCUCAGGACGAACGCUGGCGGCAGGCUUAACACAUGCAAGUCGAGGGGCAGCAUGAACUUAGCUUGCUAAGUUUGAUGGCGACCGGCGCACGGGUGAGUAACACGUAUCCAACCUGCCGAUGACUCGGGGAUAGCCUUUCGAAAGAAAGAUUAAUACCCGAUGGCAUAGUUCUUCCGCAUGGUGGAACUAUUAAAGAAUUUCGGUCAUCGAUGGGGAUGCGUUCCAUUAGGUUGUUGGCGGGGUAACGGCCCACCAAGCCUUCGAUGGAUAGGGGUUCUGAGAGGAAGGUCCCCCACACUGAACUGAGACACGUCCU